ensembl:lncRNA
CAGUCAUCCAUUUCAGGUUCAGCUGCAAUCAUGAGAGACGCAGACCUACAAUAUUUGUAUUGAUUCAUUUUUAUAAAUAAGAUUAAUUUGUUGUAAACAAGCAGGAACUUUUGCCAAACUCAUUCAUCAAUUCAGAACCAGUUUCACAGACUCUAUUUCAUGUUGGAUGCUGGUAGAUUUCCGCUCAGAAGGAGACACGUGAGAUUACUGAAGUCUAUUUCUCAGGAGAAACAUCUGAGAACUUCAGCAAGGAGUGUCAAUGGUCCACUUGAGAGAUAGGUGGCGAUAAUGCACUUAUAAGUCUGCGAUCCGCUGUAAAGCAAGAAGAAGAAGAUGAUGCAGGCUGCUGUGAAGCGCGUUCACAAGAGUUCUAACAGUUCGUACACUGCGUUAAUCAGAGGUCUUGUUGGAGCUCCCCGUGGGCUGAUGGGAUUGUUGCCGAACAGAUUGUGCAGGUGUAAGAGGAGCGCUCCUCAACGACGUGGCACCUGUCCAAAGCACUCAACAGCGACACACGGGCCUCCGAGACAUGACUGAACGCAAAGAGAACUGCUGCUGCUAUAAAACACCAUCACAUCUCAACACUUUGAAUUACCGUAAAAUGUGCUCUAUCAGUAAACUGGCCUCGCCGUGCUACCUGGAAAUGAAAGUCUGAUAGGGACCCACCCGAAGGACGCUCUAUGAUCACAGCUCUGUGUUUUCCUCAGUAGUUCCUUCUGCUAUGAGUAGCAUUUACACAGAGACAUUCGCUAAUCGCUACAAUAAGAGACAUCUGCUUAUUACCUGAUAAUAAUGAUUAUUGCUCUUUUGUGGUUAUGUGCAGCCAGCGGAGCAUCCAUUUCUACAGGGCCUCGUGGUUUAUGGCUGAUACAAGCAAACUUAUGGCAAUUUUUCCUUGUGGUACAAAAGAACACUUCAAGUAAUCACUGCUAUAAAGACCAAAGGACCAUAGUGCAUUGAUGCAAGGUCACAUGGUUUAUUUGACCUUUUUACAUGGUUUAUUUUAUUGCUUUGAUGAAGCUUAAAUCAGUUUUAUAUGGUGGUAAUGCCAUGUAUUACACUGUCAAUGGCCUUGAUUUUAUAUCCAUAUCAUUUUAAUUCAUAAGCAAUAAGCAAAACCUAAUUUUUGAGCCUUACACCAGAUCUGAUGGGACUCUUUUCCUCGAAUGAAGCUUAGGGCACUUAACAUGUCUCAUAAGUUUCAUAUCUGGUUGAAUUGCGUUUCUCAUUUGGAGGAGGGUCGUUCCUGAUCCUGCUUUACAGUAUUGCAUAAGAGUUUAAUGUUGCUAAGAUGUUUUUAAAAGAAGUCUCUUCAGCUCACCAG